UACGGAGGGUGCAAGCGUUAAUCGGAAUUACUGGGCGUAAAGCGCGCGUAGGUGGUUUGGUAAGUCAGAUGUGAAAGCCCCGGGCUCAACCUGGGAACUGCAUUUGAUACUGCCUGGCUAGAGUAUGGUAGAGGGAAGCGGAAUUCCGGGUGUAGCGGUGAAAUGCGUAGAUAUCCGGAGGAACAUCAGUGGCGAAGGCGGCUUCCUGGACCAAUACUGACACUGAGGUGCGAAAGCGUGGGUAGCAAACAGG
rnacentral:rRNA from 1 species